AUUGAACGCUGGCGGAAUGCUUUACACAUGCAAGUCGAACGGCAGCACGGGGGCAACCCUGGUGGCGAGUGGCGAACGGGUGAGUAAUACAUCGGAACGUGCCCGGUCGUGGGGGAUAACGUAGCGAAAGUUGCGCUAAUACCGCAUACGAUCUGAGGAUGAAAGCGGGGGACCUUCGGGCCUCGCGCGAUCGGAGCGGCCGAUGUCAGAUUAGGUAGUUGGUGGGGUAAAGGCCUACCAAGCCGACGAUCUGUAGCUGGUCUGAGAGGACGACCAGCCACACUGGGACUGAGACACGGCCCAGACUCCUACGGGAGGCAGCAGUGGGGAAUUUUGGACAAUGGGCGCAAGCCUGAUCCAGCCAUUCCGCGUGCAGGACGAAGGCCUUCGGGUUGUAAACUGCUUUUGUAUGGAACGAAAAGGCUCUGGCUAAUACCUGGGGCUCAUGACGGUACCGUAAGAAUAAGCACCGCCUAACUACGUG
rnacentral:rRNA from 1 species